AUUCCAGUGAAGAAAUAUUUCCAAGUUGACUUGCAGAAUUUCCCAAACGGAGAAGUUCUUCCAUUUGGUGUGCCAGAGGAUUGGAAGCAGUGGUGAGCCCUGGAGACAAGGGAACAUUUACUGGCCCUUGUUCAUACCCUGCCCAGUACAGCUCACAGCAGGCUGAAGGCGGUGCAGCGUGACCCGACCUGAUGUGCAGAAGUUCGCUCUGCAACUCCUCUGAGCUGCUCAACGCAGUGACGGGGGCUAAUGGGAAAGGACUGACUCCACCACGCUGGAAGCUGUUGGAAGGGAAGGGAAAGAAUGAAUGCAGGCAAAAGGCAAGAGUGUUACAGAGUAUUUGAAAAUCACUGACACCUUCAUCUUGAGAGAAGCAGGCUUAAAUAUUUUCCAUCUUUGCACCCUCCCAAAGACAGCAUCACCCAUCUAGCCGUCCACCCACUCAUCCAACAUCGACCAUCAGCUCAUCACUGCCCUUGGUGCAGAAGACUGGUGAACAAGACCCGUGAGCUCCAUUGAUGAACUUCAUAAAUUGGCUGUCCUCACGCCUGGGCAAGCUCUUGGUGCCCCGCUGUCUGAGAUCUGACAUCACGCCACCACGCUGGGCACCAUCCAGCCCAGCGACCCCUAGGUGCCCUGAGGUUUGAUGACUGCCGUGGGGAGACAGGGCGUCUGUGUUUACUGAUGACCUUGGACAGGCCAUCUAUCACUGGAGACCUUUGCGACCCUCCGGGGGGAGCUGCCUGAGAGUGAAACAUCGGGACGCCUGGAGCUAACAGGAGACAUUCUGGGAGACUGCUGGCCCUCUGGAGAAUGCAACCUCCCUGCACGUUGGCCUUCUUGACAGAACAGGAAAUACCGCACUCGGGGUGAGCUGAGCACCCUGACCCCUUUCCCAGUCGCCGCCAGGCUCUCUUCUCUGGUUUUCCUUCCCUUUUCUGCCAUAUCAUGUUCUGCCAUUGCCUGCCAAGCCCUUGUAUGUUUUGGCUGCUCCUUGGCCCUGAGCCUAUAAUCCUCUCCGACUUCUGACCCAGUUAAUUUACAAAAGCAAGAGCCCGAGUUCCAGCCAUUCAAAAACCCAGAUUUCUUCCCCCCAGCUCUCAGGGAUGUAAUCAGCAGGACACAGUGCAUACAUGUAGCGGCUCCCUUGAAUGCUGGAGGAGGUGGCAACCUGCUGGCUAGAACCCUGUAAGUCUGGCCAGAGCAGCUGGGCCCAGGUCACAACCCUGUCCCCCUGAGUAGGGGACACUCGACUUUGGGAUCUGUUGUCAGUUCUCUUUGUUGUUGCUUUUGGAGCUGGGUUGAACCCGGCUCCCGUGGCUGUCAAGCACAGCCCUGUCAGUCACAUGCUUAUCCAAACCCUUUCAGGAUGCUUUCUUAUUCUCUGCCACUGUAAUUCCUUGAGGGGAUAAAAUUCGUGUAUUAUUCCUGCUGUGUUGAAGUAGGCCUUCAAUUAAAUUAUUCUAAUAUAACCUUGGUCACAUUUCGGGGGUGACCCUUAUUUUAGUGAGAGAGGCUCGGUGAGUGAAUCUGGGUCCCCUGCCUCUGCACCAUGCCUGUCUUGACAGGGGCCCACUUCAGUUGGAUGUUCAGUCAGCUCUGAGGCUUAGGACCUUAAAUCCUCCUCCAACUACUGAAACCUCAUUUUGACAGCUCGGGAUGGAACGGGGAGCUGGAAGCAAGGGGAGACACUGGAGGGUCCUGCAGCGCUCUGGACAAACCAGGCCACGGGACAGGGACCAGCAUGUCCUCAUCCACGAUCCCCAAAUCCAACAAGCUCUGCAAAGCAAAAGUUCUGGAAACUCACUUGGCAGCAAAAUUGAUCCGAACUCACCUCAUUCGGCCGUAAAGCCUGACCUGGUGUGAGGCUAUCGACUGUUUCUCUUCAUUCAUACAUAUCGCUAUAGAAGUAAGAAUGUGUUUGAACACAGAGUGCAGCCCCAGACUCUCCUAGGGUGUUAUAUAAAUUAUGGUCUAAGCACUGUAUGGACUUUCUAAAAAAAAACAAAAACAAACGAGUCAGACUCUGAGGCACAUCCAGUCCCAACGGUUUUGGCUGGGACGCGCCAGCACGAGGAGCCACCCCAAAAGGGUUAGGAAGAGGGCAUAAGCACAUAUCGGGACCAGCCUUCUCCAAAGCGUCUGCUUUGUAUUUCAGUACAGACCUUGGUUUCAUAAUACCGAUAUCUCAGAAGCCACAGGUGGAAGGUCUAAAACCUCGGAAGGUGUGACAGGCCCUUCUGGAGGUGGUACAACCCACCCCCAGAUGACUUCUAAUGCUUUAUUCUGGCACUGAGACCACCCAAAACCACACCACGGAGUUUAACUAAUCAUUCUCCUAUUGCUCCAUGGCCCUAUGUCAGUAAAUGUUGCAUGUCCUUGAAAAACAAACUACUCAAAUGCAUAGAUUGCAUGUAUAUUUUAGAAACUCUUGAUUCAGUCUCCACCAAUGGAACGUUUAAUUGGCCACUUGGGUCAAGCCUGUUUUUUCUAGUGCUCUGUCUGAGCCUGGGACACAGCGGAUGCAGCAGCUUGACCCUCAGCAUGUAGUAGCGUCUCCCGAGGCAGCCUGCUUCCCAGGCAGCUGUGACCAGGGACGGAGCUGGCCCUUGGCCCACGCGGGACAGGGCACCAGCAGCCUCGCUGCCAGCUCCUGUGCACACUCUCCACCUCCUUUCUGCCUGCACCCUCUUCCUGCUUUUCCUCUUUCCCCUCUCACGCCUCUCCCCAGGCUCCCCGAGCAUGGGAGCACACAAAACCGAUUCCAUGCACCAGGCCAAAGAGAAGCAUACCCACGUCAGCCUUGUUGGAAAAGUGGGAUCUAAGACAACGCGCUUGGCUGACAACGACAAUGUGAAUGGGGCUGGCUCUUUUCCAACCAACCAUAAGCCAGAAGUGGACCUGGCACCUUCACGAUGGGCCUCGGCAGCAGUAACCGCGCAACCAAGACAUGCCCGCUAAGCAAGGCUUGGCAGGUGACUCGACUUCCCCUGGCCUCAGUUUCUC